GGAGUUAGCCGGUGCUUCUUCUGCGAGUAACGUCACAGAUGUAAGGUAUUAACUUACACCCUUUCCUCCUCGCUGAAAGUGCUUUACAACCCGAAGGCCUUCUUCACACACGCGGCAUGGCUGCAUCAGGGUUUCCCCCAUUGUGCAAUAUUCCCCACUGCUGCCUCCCGUAGGAGUCUGGGCCCGUGUCUCAGUCCCAGUGUGGCUGAUCAUCCUCUCAGACCAGCUAGGGAUCGUCGCCUAGGUGAGCCUUUACCUCACCUACUAGCUAAUCCCACCUGGGCUUAUCCAUCAGCGCAAGGCCCGAAGGUCCCCUGCUUUCCCCCGUAGGGCGUAUGCGGUAUUAGCAGUCGUUUCCAACUGUUAUCCCCUACAAACUGGGCAAAUUCCCAGGCCAUUACUCACCCGUCCGCCGCUACGUCAUCUUCAAAGCAAGCUUUUGAAAUGUUACCGCUCGACUUGCAUGUGUUAGGCCUGCCGCCAGCGUUCAAUCUGAGCCAUAAUCAAACUCUGA
rnacentral:rRNA from 1 species